AUUGAACGCUGGCGGCAGGCCUAACACAUGCGAGUCGAGCGGAUGAAGGGAGCUUGCUCCUGGAUUCAGCGGCGGACGGGUGAGUAAUGCCUAGGAAUCUGCCUGGUAGUGGGGGAUAACGUCCGGAAACGGGCGCUAAUACCGCAUACGUCCUGAGGGAGAAAGUGGGGGAUCUUCGGACCUCACGCUAUCAGAUGAGCCUAGGUCGGAUUAGCUAGUUGGUGGGGUAAAGGCCUACCAAGGCGACGAUCCGUAACUGGUCUGAGAGGAUGAUCAGUCACACUGGCAAUGAGACACGGUCCAGACUCCUACGGGAGGCAGCAGUGGGGAAUAUUGGACAAUGGGCGAAAGCCUGAUCCAGCCAUGCCGCGUGUGUGAAGAAGGUCUUCGGAUUGUAAAGCACUUUAAGUUGGGAGGAAGGGCAGUAAGUUAAUACCUUGCUGUUUUGACGUUACCAACAGAAUAAGCACCGGCUAACUUCGUG
rnacentral:rRNA from 1 species